ensembl:snoRNA Gm22521 predicted gene, 22521
UAUGCCCCUAAUGAUAUUGUGGGUAUAGCUGCUAUGUCACAUGUCCUUCAUUUAGUAGUUAGGAGAGAGCAGAGAGUCUGUGUCUACACUCAGUGAUCUGACAUGUGAACACUGGAAUUGUUAACAUUUCCUGG